rnacentral:lncRNA from 1 species
UGGGAGUAGAUUCUGUUAAAAUAGUUUAAUGUGAUUUGCUCUAUCAUGGAUACGUUUUAUCUUAGUGUAUUUUGCAUUACUUUUGUUGUAGAUUAAAUGGCACCUAGCAGCACUACACCGUUUUGCAUUACUUUUGUUGUAGAUUAAAUGGCACCUAGCAGCACUACACCGUUUGCUUUGCGUUCAGUCCUUGAGAAGGACAAGUUGAAUGGAACAAACUACUCGGAUUGGAUUCGUAACC